rnacentral:rRNA from 2 species
CACGUAGGGUGCGAGCGUUGUCCGGAAUUACUGGGCGUAAAGAGCUCGUAGGUGGUUUGUCGCGUCGUUUGUGUAAGCCCAUGGCUUAACUGUGGGACUGCAGGCGAUACGGGCAUAACUUGAGUGCUGUAGGGGAGACUGGAAUUCCUGGUGUAGCGGUGAAAUGCGCAGAUAUCAGGAGGAACACCGAUGGCGAAGGCAGGUCUCUGGGCAGUUACUGACGCUGAGGAGCGAAAGCAUGGGGAGCGAA